UGACCAGAGCAAACCCUCUAACUUCUC
rnacentral:piRNA from 1 species